GGAAUCUUCGGCAAUGGACGAAAGUCUGACCGAGCAACGCCGCGUGAGUGAAGAAGGUUUUCGGAUCGUAAAACUCUGUUGUUAGAGAAGAACAAGGGUGAGAGUAACUGUUCACCCCUUGACGGUAUCUAACCAGAGAGCCGCGGCUAACUACGUGCCGG
rnacentral:rRNA from 1 species